rnacentral:rRNA from 1 species
AACGAACGCUGGCGGCAUGCCUAACACAUGCAAGUCGAACGAGACCUUCGGGUCUAGUGGCGCACGGGUGCGUAACGCGUGGGAACCUGCCCUUAGGUUCGGAAUAACUCCCCGAAAGGGGUGCUAAUACCGGAUAAUGUCUUCGGACCAAAGAUUUAUCGCCUUUGGAUGGGCCCGCGUUGGAUUAGCUAGUUGGUAGGGUAAAAGCCUACCAAGGCGACGAUCCAUAGCUGGUCUGAGAGGAUGAUCAGCCACACUGGGACUGAGACACGGCCCAGACUCCUACGGGAGGCAGCAGUGGGGAAUAGUGGACAAUGGGCGAAAGCCUGAUCCAGCAAUGCCGCGUGAGUGAUGAAGGCCUUAGGGUUGUAAAGCUCUUUUACCCGGGAUGAUAAUGACAGUACCAGGAGAAUAAGCUCCGGCUAACUCCGUG